UAUCUCUGUAGAGUCUGCAUAUCAAUAAGCGGAGGAAAAGAAACUAACAAGGAUUCCCCUAGUAACGGCGAGUGAAGCGGGAAGAGCUCAAAUUUGAAAUCUUCAAGGUUUGACCUUGACGAAUUGUAGUUUAAAGAAGUGUUUUCGGUUAGAGGAGUAGUAAAAGUUCUUUGGAAUAGGACAUCAUAGAGGGUGAGAAUCCCGUAUUUGACUAUUCUUUCUAGCUUUGUGAUACACUUUCAAAGAGUCGGAUUGUUUGGGAAUGCAGUCCAAAAUGGGUGGUAAAUUUCAUCUAAAGCUAAAUAUUGGCGAGAGACCGAUAGCGAACAAGUACCGUGAGGGAAAGAUGAAAAGAACUUUGAAAAGAGAGUUAAACAGUACGUGAAAUUGUCAAAAGGGAAGCGUUUGACACCAGUGUUGUUUUUUCCGAAAAUCAAUUAAAAAUUGAUUCAUGCCAGGUUGUAUUGACCUUAUCAGCUUGCAAUUUGGUUUUGGGUCUCUUUUUGAUGCACUUUUCGGUUAACAAGUCAACAUCAAUUUCCUUUGCUGUAAAAAGGUAAGAGGAAGGUGGCUUCAAUUUCGGUUGAAGUGUUUAUAGCCUUUUAUCUCUGCAGUCGGGGAGAUUGAGGUCUGCAGCGUAGAUCCUUCGGGGCUAGAUACAUUUAUGCUAAGUUAUAGCUUUUCAUAGACAACUUGUUGACUAUGUUUAGUCAUGUAGCUUACUCGUAAGUGCUAUUUUACCUACGCUUAGGAUGUUGAGCGCAUGUCUCUCUCU
rnacentral:rRNA from 1 species